UACUCUCACUCUUCCGAUACUUUUUUGGAUCGGGAGUGGUGGACUUGGGUGUUGCUGCUUUGCUGUGGCUCGCCUCAAAUGGAGUAGUGCAACUCUUGGUUGGACAUAGUACGGCGUGAUAAGUGUCUUCGCCGGCGCCUCAUUCGAGGGUGGCCGAUCAGGAGCUCUGUGCUUCAAACCGUCUUCGGACAACAUCUGACA
rnacentral:misc_RNA from 1 species